UACGUAGGAGGCAAGCGUUGUCCGGAGUUACUGGGCGUAAAGCGCACGCAGGCGGUCUUGUCAGUCUGUAGGGACAGGGCACAGCUCAACUGUGUCAGGCUUAUGGAAACUGCAAGACUUGAGGGCUUCAGAGGGAUGGGGAAUUCCGGGUGGAGUGGUGGAAUGCGUAGAGAUCCGGAAGAACACCAAAGGCGAAGGCACCAUCCUGGGGAGUCACUGACGCUCGGGUGCGAAAGCUAGGGGAGCGAACGGG
rnacentral:rRNA from 1 species